GCUGUUCGUCAAGGAGUAGAUCCUUCGAACCUCGGCUGGCGUCAUGUCACUGCAUCCGCAGAAGCACUUUAUCAGCUGCAGGGGUGGACACAUACAUCGUUUAUAUGCCCGGUUUCUUAUAUCGCUUAAUUUAUUUGGUCAACAAAAGUGUGAUUGUCUAUAGGUUUGCAUAAAAUGCAAGAUGUCUAUUUGGUUAAAAGCAUCUGGUCAGUCUCAAUGUGCUUGAAAUCUAGUUACCCGCAUUUUUCAAAAGAAAAAAUAAAUACUUAGCGAUACUACUGCUCCAA